CCCUUAGAUGUUCGGGGCCGCACGCGCGCUACACUGAAGGAAUCAGCACGUCUUUCUCCUUGUCCGAAAGGACUGGGUAACCCGCUGAACCUCCUCCGUGCUAGGGAUUGGGGCUUGUAAUUCUUCCCCAUGAACGAGGAAUUCCCAGUAAGCGCGAGUCAUAAGCUCGCGUUGAUUACGUCCCUGCCCUUUGUACACACCGCCCGUCGCUACUACCGAUUGGAUGGUUUAGUGAGAUCCUCGGAUUGGUCCCGGAGCGGCCUCUGGUCGUGCCGGAGUGCCGAAAAGAAUGUCGAACUUGAUCAUCUAGAGGAAGUAAAAGUCGUAACA
rnacentral:rRNA from 1 species